UACGUAGGGACCGAGCGUUGUCCGGAUUCAUUGGGCGUAAAGAGCUCGUAGGCGGCCACUCAAGUCGAAUGUGAAACCUCGGAGGCUUAACCCUCGAGCCUGCAUUCGAUACUGGGCGGCUAGAGUCUGGUAGGGGGAUCUGGAAUUCCUGGUGUAGCGGUGGAAUGCGCAGAUAUCAGGAGGAACACCGGUGGGCGAAGGCGGGAUCCUGGGCCAGUACUGACGCUGAGGAGCGAAAGCGUGGGGAGCAAACAGGG
rnacentral:rRNA from 1 species